UAGGCCAGUGAUGAGUACUGACAGUGUAUGAGUCACACAUGAGGGGCAUGUGUCCGAGGCUCUGGGGUCUGA